ACCUGUCUGGCUCAGUCAGUAGAGCAUGUGACUUUUGAUCUCAGGGUUGUGAGUUCGAGUUCCAUGUUGGGGA
rnacentral:tRNA from 1 species